UGCGGAGCUACCAUGCAGUCGAGCGAGACCUUCGGGUCUAGCGGCGGACGGGUUAGUAACGCGUGGGAACGUGCCCUUCUCUGCGGAAUAGCCACUGGAAACGGUGAGUAAUACCGCAUACGCCCUUCGGGGGAAAGAUUUAUCGGAGAAGGAUCGGCCCGCGUUAGAUUAGAUAGUUGGUGGGGUAACGGCCUACCAAGUCUACGAUCUAUAGCUGGUUUUAGAGGAUGAUCAGCAACACUGGGACUGAGACACGGCCCAGACUCCUACGGGAGGCAGCAGUGGGGAAUCUUAGACAAUGGGCGCAAGCCUGAUCUAGCCAUGCCGCGUGUGUGAUGAAGGUCUUAGGAUCGUAAAGCACUUUCGCCAGGGAUGAUAAUGACAGUACCUGGUAAAGAAACCCCGGCUAACUCCGUGCCAGCAGCCGCGGUAA
rnacentral:rRNA from 1 species